UUGGCCCUUCUCGUUUGACGCGGGCUGGACCUCUCGGGGUUACAGCCUUGCUGAAUUAUUCACCCUUGUCUUUUGCGUACUUCUUGUUUCCUUGGUGGGUUCGCCCACCACUAGGACAAACAUAAACCUUUUGUAAUUGCAAUCAGCGUCAGUAACAAAUUAAUAAUUACAACUUUCAACAACGGAUCUCUUGGUUCUGGCAUCGAUGAAGAACGCAGCGAAAUGCGAUAAGUAGUGUGAAUUGCAGAAUUCAGUGAAUCAUCGAAUCUUUGAACGCACAUUGCGCCCUUUGGUAUUCCAAAGGGCAUGCCUGUUCGAGCGUCAUUUGUACCCUCAAGCUUUGCUUGGUGUUGGGCGUCUUGUCUCUAGCUUUGCUGGAGACUCGCCUUAAAGUAAUUGGCAGCCGGCCUACUGGUUUCGGAGCGCAGCACAAGUCGCACUCUCUAUCAGCAAAGGCCUAGCAUCCAUUAAGCCUUUUUUUCAACUUUUGACCUCGGAUCAUGAAGGGAUACCCGCUGAACUUAAGCAUAUCAAUAAACGCAGGAAAAAGACUCACACCAGACAGUCCUUUUUUUUCAUAAAAUAGUGUCCUUCCAAAAACACUCCAAAAGGCGUUUAUCCCAAAUGGAAAGAAUGCUUACGUGAGAAGAACAAAAUGCGUUCCAAAUUCAUAUCCAUGAAAAUAUAUACGAGCAGAAUAAAUCUUCGAUUUCUCUUUUGAAGAAAUGAAAAGCAGGUGUUCUGUCUAUCAGAACUAGUACUCCAACUGCAUAUAUGCGUGGAAAGACACUCAUAAUAUGCGCAGGGAGACGCCUCGUCUACCCGAUAACGAUAGUUUGACCGAUAUUUCCAUGAGCACGGAUGGUGUAUUAUAUAUCUAACGCGAUUUAGUGUAAAUUUGUCUCCUAAACGAAGAGUAUAUAAAACUAGAAGUGCCUGG
rnacentral:rRNA from 1 species